GACGAACGCUGGCGGCGUGCUUAACACAUGCAAGUCGAACGAAGUGGCGAAGGGGUGAGUAAUACGGGGCUAACCUGGCCUCCUUUUUGGGAUAAGCCUUGGAAACGGGGUCUACUACCGAAUAAAGGGGGAUGUGCUCGCGGAGUAUCAGCUUGUUGGUGGGGUGAUGGCCUACCAAGGCGGUGAGGGGUAGCCGGCCUGAGAGGGUGACCGGCCACAUUGGGACUGACAUACGGCCCAGACUCGUACGGGAGGCAGCAGUGGGGGCUAUUGGACAAUGUGCGAAAGCCUGAUGCAGCGACGCCGCGGGGGGGAUGAAGGCUUGCGGGUUGUAAACCUCGUUCGCUAUCGAAAGGGUAGGUGGAGAAGAAGCGCCGGCUAACUACGUGCCAGCAGCCGCGGUAAUAC
rnacentral:rRNA from 1 species